UGGGGAAUUUUGGACAAUGGGGGAAACCCUGAUCCAGCCAUCCCGCGUGUGCGAUGAAGGCCUUCGGGUUGUAAAGCACUUUUGGCAGGAAAGAAACGUCAUGGGUUAAUACCCCGUGAAACUGACGGUACCUGCAGAAUAAGCACCGGCUAACUACGUGCCAGCAGCCGCGGUAAUACGUAGGGUGCAAGCGUUAAUCGGAAUUACUGGGCGUAAAGCGUGCGCAGGCGGUUCGGAAAGAAAGAUGUGAAAUCCCAGAGCUCAACUUUGGAACUGCAUUUUUAACUACCGGGCUAGAGUGUGUCAGAGGGAGGUGGAAUUCCGCGUGUAGCAGUGAAAUGCGUAGAUAUGCGGAGGAACACCGAUGGCGAAGGCAGCCUCCUGGGGAAACACUGACGCUCAUGCACGAAAGCGUGGGGGGCAAACAGG
rnacentral:rRNA from 1 species